rnacentral:rRNA from 1 species
GAGUACCGAAGUUCCUGAUUCCACACUGCCAAGAAAAUCCUCUAGUGAGUUCAUAGGUGCCCGUACCGCAAACCGACACAGGUAGGCGAGGAGAGAAUCCUAAGGUGAGCGGGAGAACUCUCGUUAAGGAACUCGGCAAAAUGACCCCGUAACUUCGGGAGAAGGGGUGCUCCUUUAAGGAGGAGCCGCAGUGAAUAGGCCCAAGCGACUGUUUAGCAAAAACACAGGUCUCUGCGAAGCCGAAAGGCGAAGUAUAGGGGCUGACACCUGCCCGGUGCUGGAAGGUUAAGGGGAAGCGUUAGCACUUUGGUGCGAAGCGUAGAACCGAAGCCCCAGUAAACGGCGGCCGUAACUAUAACGGUCCUAAGGUAGCGAAAUUCCUUGUCGGGUAAGUUCCGACCCGCACGAAAGGUGCAACGACUUGGGCACUGUCUCAACGAGAGACCCGGUGAAAUUAUACUAUGUGUGAAGAUGCACAUUACCCGCGACAGGACGGAAAGACCCCGUGGAGCUUUACUGUAGCCUGAUAUUGAAUGUUGGUACAGCUUGUACAGGAUAGGUGGGAGCCGUCGAUACCGGAGCGCUAGCUUCGGAGGAGGCAUCCGUGGGAUACCACCCUGGCUGUACGGACAUUCUAACCCAGGACCGUAAUCCGGUUCGGAGACAGUGUCAGGCGGGCAGUUUGACUGGGGCGGUCGCCUCCCAAAGAGUAACGGAGGCGCCCAAAGGUUCCCUCAGAAUGGUUGGAAAUCAUUCGCAGAGUGUAAAGGCAGAAGGGAGCUUGACUGCGAGACCUACAAGUCGAGCAGGGACGAAAGUCGGGCUUAGUGAUCCGGUGGUUCCGCAUGGAAGGGCCAUCGCUCAACGGAUAAAAGCUACCCCGGGGAUAACAGGCUUAUCUCCCCCAAGAGUUCACAUCGACGGGGAGGUUUGGCACCUCGAUGUCGGCUCAUCGCAUCCUGGGGCUGUAGUCGGUCCCAAGGGUUGGGCUGUUCGCCCAUUAAAGCGGUACGCGAGCUGGGUUCAGAACGUCGUGAGACAGUUCGGUCCCUAUCCGUCGUGGGCGCUGGAAGUUUGAGAGGAGCUGUCCUUAGUACGAGAGGACCGGGAUGGACACACCGCUGGUGUACCAGUUGUUCCGCCAGGAGCAUAGCUGGGUAGCUACGUGUGGCAAGGAUAAGUGCUGAAAGCAUCUAAGCAUGAAGCCCCCCUCAAGAUGAGACUUCCCAUCACUUCGAGUGAGUAAGAUCCCUCAGAGACGAUGAGGUUGAUAGGUCCGAGGUGGAAGCGUGGUGACACGUG